AAUGGAAAGAACCUUAUAAGCCUCAUGUCUUGUAAUUCCGUAUAGGAAUGAUUGAAUCUUAGAUUUUCGUUUAUUGCUGCGUAAAUUUAUCAUACUAUAUAUGUGGAGUAGUGCUCAUUUCUCUACGGAGAAAGCGAGUCGUUACAUAAUUUCUCAUUUUAUGAUAAAUAAAAUAGAAAAUAACAAAAAUCGACAAUAUAAAAAGCGGUUAUGGUAUCCAAAUUACACGUGUGUAUUUUGUUUAUUUCCUAUUACUCCGUCAGCAGUGAAAAUUAGAGUUUUAUAACUACAUAUUAAUUUGAAAGGUUUACCAUAUGACGCGAAGGUUGUUUUUAUUAUGGAUUCUUUUAUGUUCAUUCUCUUU
rnacentral:lncRNA from 1 species